GCAGCUACAGUGCUGGGGCUGUAGGAAAUCUCCACUUCCCUUUAUGUGGAUGGAGAAAAGAAGUUACGGGAGGCACAAUUGGGUAAGGUGUGGAGGAGGGGAUCACUUUGUCCUCUGUGGCCACAGUGACCAAUGGCAGAAAUCCUGGGCUGGGCUGGCAGUGGCAGGGAAGUGGGGGAGAGGUGAGGAAACUCUUUCCCUGCAGACUGUGGUGUCUUCAUCCCCGGACCUUGAUUUUAUGUGAUUUUUACGGAAGACCGAGCAGUGGGAAGGAGCUUGGAAUUGAUGCAGUGUUGCCAAGUGGUGGUGGUAGCAUCACCUUUCACGGCGCCUAUCGACCACCCUGGAUGGUUGCAGGGAUUGACAACUCUGCUGGUGUCCCACGGCCCCAUUUUGUUGUUUAAAGUUGGUCUUUGAAUUGUGGGAUUUACAUCUCCACCCAGGGAUGGUUGUGUCUUAUUUGCCUUAAGGCUCGGGGCUUUUGGAGCAGAGGGAGAUGAAGAGGCUAGUCCUUCCCUGUUUGAUGAAGAAGAGCAUAUCCCAGGCUGGAAACAUAUUUAGGAGUGGAAACAAAGUCAGACGACUUGGGAAAAGCUCACAGAAGGGGAAAUCAGAUGGGAUUAAAUCCACCCAGAGCCGGUUUCCAGGCCAUUUCCAUGCUUCUCCCAGUCCAGGGGCUGUAGGUGCUGCAACUCCCUGUCCCUUGGCCAGCCAGGGUGGGGACCUUGUGACAGAGUGGGGCUGGCAGUCAAAGCCUCAUUCCCACUGGGCUGGUGAGCUGGGAAACCGGUCCUGGCACAGGAGAAAGCCACCUCCUCCGCAGGCUCGAUGGGAGCUGUGACUGUCUGUGGGGUUUUUAAAUAGUCGUGACUUUGCUGAGCUGAUUCCUUUUUGAUGUGCGCAGACUUCUCCCUCCGACUUUCCCUUUGCAGCUUUCCCUCGCAGCAAGGGGAGUUGCUGAGUGGAUCCCAGUGGAUGGGGCUUCUCCCACUGCUCCAUCCUCCCUCCCGUCUGGAGGUGGGGAAGGAAAAGGGCCACGCCAAUCCCAGCGCUCCUGUGUGCGAGCCAAUUCCCCCAAGGAUGGCUGCUUUAAUGAGAUGUCACAGCUAAUGAGUCUGCUGGCAGAGUGCUUGUGGAGAAACGUGCUGGGAAAUGGUAACGCAGCAAGUCUCAGCGCUGGGAUGGUGCAGCUUUCCAGGCUCUGUCCCAUCCCAGAGAUGGGAAUCCAUGGGAGCAGCUGGCUGAAGGACCUUGUGCUCCACCCCAGCAUCAGCCAGGAGCAGCUUGCUGACAGCCCGCUGCCUGCUCGCUAUCAGGAUGUGAUUGGGCCAAGUGAAUGGAAUAAAUUUGUCCCCAAAACAGUGGAGUGGCCAACAGCCCAGCCAAUGCAAAUAUUGGGAGCUCCCAAUACACCAGGCACCAGUGCAGGGUUCAUUAAGUGGGGCUGGUGAUUUAUGGGAAGAAAUUUAUGCUACUGGUGGUCUCAUCCUCCUUGUCCACAACCCAAAAAAGAACAUCAGGCUGCCAGCAGAUCUGAGAUUCUCCUUUACAGCAGUUGGGCCUGAGGGGCACCUCAGAAUCCCUGUGAUGAGUGAGCAUCCAAGUUCCCUCUAUCCCAGUAUGUGGAGACUGGGGGAGCUCAGAAAUAUUUUCACUGCUGAGCACGGAGAGUUCUCUUGGAAGCAAUUUACGCCCUGGAAUCUGCUGGGAGUUAAACACACAAAGGAGCAGGGAUGCAGGAGGAACAGAGUGCAGGAUGAUCCAGGGCACCCAUCCCAGAGGAGGGCACCCCCAGCACUCCAGGGCAGAGGAGGGAGGAGAUUCAUUUCUAAGGCUGACCUGCCUCUUCUUUGGACUGCGGAACCGUGCAGUGGCCACUCUCUGUGUCCAUCUGAGCCCCACCAGGGCCCUGGUGGCCUCUGUACCCACUUGGCUUCCUCUGCUGCUCUGUGCUCCAGCAAUGGAGGAGCUCUGGAAGCCACCUCUGCAAUCUCACACAGCUCUGGCUCUGGCAUGGGGAAGCAACGAGAGCAGGAAUGUGGAGACUUAACCCCAUUUAUCGUUAAAGGCUGGAGGAGGGAGAGCUGUGUUCAUACCCCACCCUGCUCGUGCCAGCAAAGGUUGCCUUGGGGACACCUGGGCCAGGGAGUCCCCAGGGCUGUGCCAUUGCUGCAGUAAGUGCCACCUGCGGGUACUCGAGGUUCUAAUGGCACUCAAGUGCAUUUUUCAAAUAUUCUCAGAGCUGAUAAGGCCUCUGCCGCUCCAGAGGGGCUCAGUGCCUGCCCAGGCACACACCAGGCUCCUCAGGAGAAGGAGGGAACCCAAUAACUCACUCAGCCACCUGAGUCCCACCACAAUGUCUCUUUCCAGUCCUUCACCCCACAGCCCACCUGUGGUGGAGUGAAGAUGGCUGUGACCUCGCUGGUCCCAGAUCAGAGCAGGUACGGUACGAGCAGAAAACUCCAUCCAGCUGCUCCCCUGCCUUUAGCAUCAGACACCAACAAAAAUCAAUUCUCAGAGUAAAUUAAGAAGCGGUUGAAAAUGCACCGUAUGGCUUGGCACGGUGCCACCUAACACCUGUGGGGAGCUUUUUGCCAGGACAGCUGGAGGAAAUAUCCCCUGAAACUGAUGCCAAGCCUGCCUGGAGGGGAGGGCUGCUCCGCCACUCUCUGUCCCUGCAGGGAAGCUCCAGCACAGGAUUUAGCUUACACCUGUCCCAUUGCUGUGGAAGAAUUGGACUCCAGAGAUGCCCAGGGUGCAGGGCUGAGGCCGGGAGCCCGGCUGGCAUCGCCUCAGGGUCUGGCUGUGCCGGUGUAAUCGCGCUGUGCUGCGGAAUGACCUUGGGCUGAAAACAAUUCCACGCUCGGGCCUCGCAGGCUGUUGCU